rnacentral:rRNA from 1 species
UACGGAGGAUCCGAGCGUUAUCCGGAUUUAUUGGGUUUAAAGGGUGCGUAGGCGGCCUUUUAAGUCAGCGGUGAAAGUCUGUGGCUCAACCAUAGAAUUGCCGUUGAAACUGGGGGGCUUGAGUAUGUUUGAGGCAGGCGGAAUGCGUGGUGUAGCGGUGAAAUGCUUAGAUAUAACUUAGAACUCCGAUAGCGAAGGCAGCUUACCAGACUGCGACUGACGCUGAGGCUCGAAAGUGUGGGUAUCAAACAGG